CCCCUCUCAGGGUUGCACCUGGAGAGUUUCCAGUACUCUACUAGGCUUGACUACAGGAGGGAGAGUCAAGCAUGGGCCUGUCCAUUCCAUUCCUAGCUUGGGCAGAGGCUAGCGAAUGGAAGGUAAUCUGCUACAAGU